GGCGAGAUCUCCAUCGUGGAUGAGCCGAGGCGGGUCAUAGUUCAAGCGGUUCACGAACUUUUCGAUCAGGAGGUGACGACGUUUUGGGAAGAGGAGGUCGCUCGAACCUGCACAGUGGUGUUUAUAGGGAGAAACUUGGACCUAAAGGUCCUCGAGAAAACGCUACGGCAGAUGGUUCAAGACGCGCCCCCUACGGCGACAUCGUCGUCGACGCCCGUGCCGCCCUCUGUCGUCCACGCGGGUGCUACGUAGUGUAAACACUUUGGUAACUCAUAAGCUGUUCGCCUUUCACCCACCACGUUGUAGAUUCCAUUGGUAUCUUUCAAUGUUGGUAUCACCCAUUUUUUUAUAUGAAUAAUGUAAACAUGGUGAAUCGUUUCGAUCCCUUUGUUUUAAUUCAGCCUACACAUACAUGUAUAUAGGUUCGAUGGAUCAUGCAUAAGACUUUCCUCAUUGGCCAAAUUCACUCUCUGUAUAAUUUGUAUGUUAUAUUGUGCACAUUUUCAAACCUGCCACCAUGAUGGUUUCAUAUCAUAUCCCACGAGUUUUCCAACCCUCGCCAUGUUCAAAAAUAAUAUUAAAAAUCCUCGUAGAUUCGACAGAAAAUCGCAAUGCUUAUCGUGUGGUUGUUAUAUUCUUUUACCCUUCUGUUGUUGUCCGAACAGUCACAGACAGUCAAAAAAUCGACCCUCUUCCCCUGCCAUGCCUUUUACACAGGCUAGUCACCUACAGUCAGAUCAUAUUUCAAGCAAGUACUGUGACUAGUCAAAUUCGGUCAAAAGACAAAAGCAUGCAACUGGUAGGCACAGUUGGCUUAUCAAUCAUCUACAGUCGAAGCACAGGUGUAUCCAGUUACAUAAACAUUCACAGCCAGUCAAUACUGCUUUAGGUAGGCUGGGAGCUCUUAACUGUUGAAAACAGUCACUUGACUGAUUUUGAAUGAAAGGACAACUUUGCACAGAGUGUAAGUUUGCAUAGGAGGGAUGUGAAGUAUCGUCCGUCCUUACAUGAAGAAGUGUCGGUAGUGGCCCUUUUCGUGGCAGCCACGCAUCUUGUUCCCAGGUAGGGAUGGGUAGACCCUUUGCGCAGUAAUUGUUAAUAAAUUAGAGUGUCAAAAGACACCUUCAAAAUGCGGGUUGCUAUAUGUAAGGCGUAUUCGAAACCCCGUUCUCGAGUAACCCGCGAACAGUGUUCUCGGGUUGCCGAUUACGAACGCCCAAGUGCGUGUGGAGAGCAGCUGGGGCGAAAAUUCAAGAUGGCAGCCGCCAUAUAUAACUCCGAAUUAAAUGAAAGGAAAAUUAAUUAUCUUACGAAAAUAAUUUAAAUCCUGAAACAGCUAUACAAAUUGGCAAUGAUAAGCCCACUCUAUAUAUGAAAAGGCCUACGUAAAAAAAAAAAAUGUGUAUCAUUUAAACUGCUCCGGUGUUGGGUGAGUGCUUUUUCGUUUAUCCACAAGAUUAACGCAAGUUGUGAAAGUAGGGACCUAAGUCCGCCAUCUUUGUUCUUGACGUUCCUCAUCUACUCCAUAAGUGGGGAGUAAAAAUCCUGUUCGCGAACACCGUGUUCGCGUGUUGGUUCUCGUCAUUCGAAACCCCGUUCUCGUGUUCAUUAAACACGAGAACGGGGUUUCGAAUACACCCGUUAAGUGUGCAUUGUGUUACUGUGUAUGCUUGGUGUACAAUUUAAUGUAUGGUUUGCCGGCCCACGGACCCUUUUAUACCUAUGUCAGUCCAAUAGAAAUCCUGACUAUGUUCUUUGAUUGUUCCCCUGUUUUCUUUAUAUUUUUGCCCGUCAACAUUCCCAUUGUAUACUAUUGACCAGAUUGUCACCUUUCCGUGUACCCUCGUCGCUCAUACCGUCGAAUGUGAAUAGAAAUCUGCGUUUCAAUGUGAAUAUUCCAAACUUGACUUUCCUAUUUCCAUUAUACAUUGUGCAUUGCUUUGCCAACCCAUACAUAUACAGACAGUGAUUGAUAAACCUCACUCUUGCACGAUCAGUAUCGCUCGUGGUGCCCCCUCAGUAUUCCCAAGCCACGCCUAUCCCGUGGGGAUUUUCUUGCACUCCGCGUGCGCGGCGUUGUUAUGUUCGCCGCUUCACGCAGUGUGGGGCACAGUUGGCGGGCAACUCGCGUGGGACCGGAACGCGGACCGGACGCCCCCGCCAGAGUACCCCCUCCGAUAGCCAUCUCUGAAGCCUCGUCGCGCGGGCCGCGCCAUUGUGCUUCCAAAAAUCUCUCCGUUUUAGAUCCGAUAAUUGGAUUAAAUGACGUACUCACCUCCCCUUUUAGCUAAUAAUCCCCCAAUCCUUUCGGGAUGGUGGAAGAAGAAAAACAAAAUGUCAUCCACUUUACGAAAUACUCGGUUGGCUGCGCAUAGGCAUCUCAACGGAGUGUAAAAUAACGGGCAGCAGCCUUCUGCUUGCUAUCCGUAUAAGAAUUAAAUGACUUCUGCCUUAGCCCAACUCCCGGCAGGUUUUUUUUUCUUUUCUUUUUCGUCUGAAGAUAUAUUUCAGAUCAUGAAAACAACAGUUUGUCAUUCGGAAUUCUGUGGGCUUUGUGUACAGGUCUGGUACGAACAAUAAGGCUAUGACCUUGUCGACACAUUGGGCGUUUGUUUUCAGAUAUAGCCUACUUUGUACAAGGCGCGGAUUGACCAUAAUGUUAUCGCUUUUCAUAGACUCAGUGUAGUGAUAAAGAUGAUAAAGAUGAAUUUCUGAACGCUGGUCGUGGUCUUUCCAUUUGGGGUUGAGGGUGUAGGCGGUGUCGAAAUUAACGUGUUCACGUACCAAAGUCAGUUUAAAUGGCAUAAACCGUUCAGCUGCGUAACCAUGUACCUUGUGUAGAAAAUACAACGACUGGCGUCUUUGAAAAUCGAAAAAAAAAAGAAGAUAGCAGGUCUGAUGUUUCGACACUCGCCUUGUCUUUCAUCACUAGCACGAGUCUCAGAUUUGUUAAUUAUACAUACAUUACUAGUUGAUUAAUUCAGUAUUUUUACACUCUUUUAUUUCAUACUCUGUAACUUUACGUCUUGUAACUUUCAGCAGUAUUGAUAUAAAUGUAUGUAUGAAUGAAUGAAUGAUAAAAGGA